AUAAUAAGUAUGUUAUGAUUUUUAUUCUUCUCUUAUGUAAGGUUAAUUUAGCUGUUCUGGUAUUAUUUGAUUUCAGUUUAUAAGUCAGUGUGUUAAACAUGGCUGAAAUAUUUUUCAGAGAAUUAAAAAAACACAAAGUGUAUAAUAUUUAUUUUGACACUGAAAUUGUAUUUAACAUUUUCUAAGAAAAUUUACUUAUAAAGAUAGUGAUUCGUUGGGUUUGUGUUAGACUGCAUUUUACAUUUUAAGACUGUUGCAAGUUUUUAACAUUGGCUUAAGUAAGAAAAAGGAAGGACGUAAGAUCAACAGCUUUUUAUAGUUAUCAGUUUAUUAAACAAAAUCUUAAACACCACUGCUGCAACUUGAAGUCAGACAACUCCACACCAGUAUAUACUGUAUGUAUGUUUAAUCUUUUAACUGAAGUUAAAUUAUUGGAAUACAUUUUUUUAGCAUGUUUGAAUAAUUGUAAAUUUCUUCAUAGUGAAAUCAUGAAGUCCAGACUCUCAUCGCUGAUCCUGCUGUUACACAUUCAAGGGUCUCUAACAUUGGACAGCUUUACUGUGAGCUGUCGUAAACAAAAUAUUUGUGCUGUGAGAGGGGCCUGGGUGACACUAAGGUGCUCUUACUCAAACAUCAACAUCAAAACUGUGUUCUGGUUCAGUCAAAAACAGAAAACAAACUGGAGAAACAAAGAUGAACCUGAAGAUUUGACUUUAGAUUCAGAUUACUCAGGACGAGUGAAACAGCAGAUCAAAAACUCAAGUUCAUAUCUCACAAUAUCUGAUCUGAGAGAGAGAGACAGUGGAGAAUAUCAGCUCAUGAUCAUUAUGAAGGAUGGAGUUAAACAUCUCAGCUCAGUCACAGUCAAUCUAACAGUCACAGUUUUACAGGUGAAGAUGAAUCCUGAAUCUAC